rnacentral:rRNA from 1 species
UGGGCGUUUGAUCAUGGCUCAGAGCGAACGCUGGCGGCAGGCCUAAAACAUGCAAGUCGAACGCCGUAGCAAUACGGAGUGGCAGACGGGUGAGUAACACGUGGGAACGUGCCCUUUGGUUCGGAACAACACAGGGAAACUUGUGCUAAUACCGGAUAAGCCCUUACGGGGAAAGAUUUAUCGCCAGAGGAUCGGCCCGCGUCUGAUUAGCUAGUUGGUGGGGUAACGGCCUACCGAGGCGAUGACGGGUAGCUGGUCUGAGAGGACGGCCAGCCACACGGGGACUGAGACACGGCCCCGACUCCUACGGGAGGCAGCAGUGAGGAAUCUUCCGCGAUGGGCGAAAGCCUGACGGAGCGACGCCGCGUGUGGGAUGAAGUCUUUCGGGAUGUAAACCACUGUCGGAGGGGAAGACAAAAAAGACGGUACCCUCCAAGAAAGCCCCGGCUAACUACGUGCCAGCAGCCGCGGUAAUA